rnacentral:lncRNA from 1 species
UCUUUCUCUGCAUGCUGUCGUGGACCGUUGACCGGCGCCGAUUAUAUAUGGCCUGCAUGCUGGCCUGCGCGCGAGAAGCACCAAAAUGCUGCUGUUUCUGCGCUGCUUGAGGACACUUUUAUCUUCUCUUCAUCACGUUGUCCGUGUGCCAGUACGCGUCGAUCGUGCAUCUAGCUGUACGCAUACGCCGUCGGCAGGGCUGCGCUACCCUCUCACGGCACAAAGUUCUAGCAGCAACGGGCACGUACGUACGUGCCACCACACACACACACACAUGUGGUCGCGAUCGUACACGUCGAUGAUGCACGACGCAUAUAUAUCUCACACCGUCCAUGGGAGGGAGGACGUACGAUAAGAUUAAGAUAGAUGUGUGCAACAUGUUUAUCUUCAUUCAGGUUGGUGACCAGGGGAUGGACGCACACAUCAGACAGUGCUUUACCCACAAAUUACAUAAGCUUUUUGAUGAUCAUUAUUAUGGAAAAAAGGCUAGUAGUAGUAGUAGCGGUCAACGUCGUGUUGGGAAAAGAGGCUUCGGGACAAAGCCGGGCGGUGACUUGUCACGUUCGGUUCACGACGAGGUGGACAACACUGGUAAAGUGCCAAUUCGCAGUGAUGAAGGGCGUUCACUGAAACUUUGGACCAUUUUCCCCACUCCCAGCAAGCUACUGUGACCUCUACUUCACUGGACCUGCAUUUUCAUACCGAACCUUAGGUAGCUGGCUUGAGAAACCAAGCGCCCAAAGGCCGUCCAGUGCAACCACUACCCGAUCUAUUAUGUGAUGUAGCUAUAUAUAUAUAUAUAGAUGAAUACUGGUGUGCN